GGCUCUGAGGUGUGUACACAUCGCCCGAUCGCUCACAUCAUAGAUUAGUCAAUUUUAUUACUUUAAGUUAGCCGACGUUUAGAUGAGAUAAGACGCAACUUAGUAGAUGUACGGGAAAGUGUAUCUAGGAAGAGUUUCA
rnacentral:rRNA from 1 species